UCACGAUGGGGGCACCCUGACCGCAAUGCCGCGUGAGUGAAGAAGGCCUUCGGGUUGUAAAGCUCUUUUGUCAGGGAAGAAACACCGGCUCUAACACAGUCCGGGAAUGACGGUACCUGAAGAAUAAGCACCGGCUAACUACGUGCCAGCAGCCGCGGUAAUACGUAGGGUGCAAGCGUUAAUCGGAAUUACUGGGCGUAAAGCGUGCGCAGGCGGUUAUACAAGACAGGCGUGAAAUCCCCGGGCUUAACCUGGGAAUGGCGCCUGUGACUGUAUAGCUAGAGUGUGUCAGAGGGGGGUAGAAUUCCACGUGUAGCAGUGAAAUGCGUAGAUAUGUGGAGGAAUACCAAUGGCGAAGGCAGCCCCCUGGGAUAACACUGACGCUCAUGCACGAAA
rnacentral:rRNA from 1 species